GAAGAGUCUUCCAUUGGACCUGCAUCACAGCAUCAGUAGCCUUCCCAAGACAAAAGAUGAAGACGGUUGCGGUGGCGUUGUUGGUUGCUGUAAUUGUGGUUGUUGAAGUUCCAUUCGGAUACACAUUUCCAUCUGCAGUUCCUUCCUUUCUUUGGUCACCGCAUCAUUAUGGAGUUGCCUCAAGUGAAGCUGUCAAUUACAGAACCCUUUCACUGAAGGAUUUAGUUAAGUCCGUUAUGGCUGAGGGUGGUUGGUCGGACUUGCUGUGCUCAGGAAAAGAAGGUGGACAGCAUCUGGAUCUUGCACUUGUUUUUGUUGGGAAAGAGUUGCAAUCUGUGGAUAUUUCUAGACCCAAAAAUGCCAAUUCGGAGCUUGUGGACUUGCUGAAGGCCUCUGUUGCAAAGUCCAAUUUUUCCCUGGCAUUCCCCUACAUUGAUGCAUCAGAGGAGAGAGAAUCAGUGGAAAGCUCCUUGAUUUCAGAAUUUACAAACACGUGUGGGCAUGGUCUUGAGGCCAGCAACAUUGCUUUCUCGCAAUCAUGCUCUGUAGAGGGUGGAAGUUUUGAGAAGCUCACUGAUGUCCACUCAGUUCAGAACUAUCUGCUAUCAAGGAUCACUAAACAAUCCAAGGGGCAGCCAACUUUGAUUGUUCUCUGCGAUCAAGAUCAUCGAACCCUGGGAAGAGCUGAAGAAAAAACCUCUGAAGGACAAGUUUUAUCUCAACUUCUCAGUUAUGUGGAGAAUCUGGGAGCAAAAUACACCGCACUCUAUGUGUCAGAUCCUUUUAGGUCAAUUCAGUUCCCCUCUCAUUGGGAAGUAGAAAGGUUUCUUACUGAAGGUACUGGAAAUAAAUCAGUCGAUGGCUGUGAUGGAGUUUGCCGAAUUAAAUCCUCAUUUUUGGAGGGCAUAUUUGUGGCAAUUGUCUUGCUUAUAAUUUUAAUAUCUGGCCUUUGCUGCAUGAUGGGAAUUGAUACUCCAACAAGGUUUGAGGCCCCUACAGAUUAGAGGUUGUGGAAGAUAAAUUCAUAUUCUGAGUUGCUUUGAUUGCAGUAAUGUGAAUGUAUCUUUAUGGUAUGCAUAACCCUGUAAUUUUUGUUUAUUUGUCACACAACACUUGCUUGUAUCAGCAGUAUAGAGUGUUACAUUCCAAUAAUGUUAUGGUCAUUCUUGAUUUUUUUUGGUUAUGUAUUCUUCUGCACGUACCAAGUUUCGGUUACGUGCCCUGGUUAUUCUUCAGUUCUG
rnacentral:misc_RNA from 1 species